rnacentral:rRNA from 1 species
GGCUUGUUGACUAUAAUUUCAAGUYUAACCUGCCCAAUGAGUGGUUAAAUGGCCGCGGUAUAUUGACCGUGCAAAGGUAGCAUAAUCAUUAGUUUUUUAAUUGAAAGCUUGUAUGAAAGGUUUGAUGAGAAAGUAACUGUCUCUGUGAAAAUUUAUUAGAAUUUUAUUUUUAAGUGAGAAAGCUUAAAUUUUUAUAGAAGACGAGAAGACCCUGUAGAGUUUUAUAUUUGUAUAAGAGACUAGAUUUUAGGUAUCUAAAUUUUAGAAUUUUAGAUAUAUUUUGUUGGGGUGAUAGAAAAAUUAGAUAAACUUUUUUUUUAUUUAUACAUUUAUUUAUGAGUUUAUGAUCCUGAAAUUUAGAUUAAAAGAUUAAAUUACCUCAGGGAUAACAGCGUAAUCUUUUAUAGAGUUCUUAUCGAAUAAAGGGAUUGCGACCUCGAUGUUGGAUUAAAAUUAAUUAUUGGUGUAGGAGCUAAUGAAUUAGGUCUGUUCGACCUUUAUAAUUUUACAUGAUCUGAGUUUAAACCGGCGUGAG